rnacentral:rRNA from 1 species
AGCGAACACUGGCGGCAGGCCUAACACAUGCAAGUCGAACGGCUCUUCGGAGCAGUGGCGGACGGGGGAGUAACGCGUGGGAAUGUGCCCUUAGGUAUGGAACAACACAGGGAAACUUGUGCUAAUACCGUAUGUGCCCUACGGGGGAAAGAUUUAUCGCCUUUGGGGCAGCCCGCGUUGGAUUAGGUAGUUGGUGGAGUAAAGGCUCACCCAGCCGACGAUGCAUAGCUGGUCUGGGAGGAUGACCAGCCACACUGGGACUGAGACACGGCCCAGACUCCUACGGUAGGCAGCAGUAGGGAAUCUUGCGCAAUGGGCGAAAGCCUGACGCAGCCAUGCCGCGUGUAUGAUGAAGGUCUUAGGAUUGUAAAAUACUUUCACCGGGGAAGAUAAUGACGGUACCCGGUGAAGAAGCCCCGGCUAACUUCGUGCCAGCCGCCGCCGUAA